GACGAACGCUGGCGGCGUGCCUAAUACAUGCCAGUCGAACGCUGAAGGAGGAGCUUGCUUCUCUGGAUGAGUUGCGAAAGGGUGAGUAACGCGUAGGUAACCUGCCUGGUAGCGGGGGAUAACUAUUGGAAACGAUAGCUAAUACCGCAUAAUAGCAGUUGUUGCAUGACAACUGUUUGAAAGGUGCAAUUGCACCACUACCAGAUGGACCUGCGUUGUAUUAGCUAGUUGGUGGGGUAACGGCUCACCAAGGCGACGAUACAUAGCCGACCUGAGAGGGGGAUCGGCCACACUGGGACUGAGACACGGCCCAGACUCCUACGGGAGGCAGCAGUAGGGAAUCUUCGGCAAUGGACGGAAGUCUGACCGAGCAACGCCGCGUGAGUGAAGAAGGUUUUCGGAUCGUAAAGCUCUGUUGUAAGAGAAGAACGAGGGUGAGAGUGGAAAGUUCACACUGUGACGGUAUCUUACCAGAAAGGGACGGCUAACUACGUG
rnacentral:rRNA from 1 species